UGGGGAAUCUUGCGCAAUGGGCGAAAGCCUGACCCAGCAACGCCGCGUGAAGGAUGAAGUAUUUCGGUAUGUAAACUUCGAAAGAAUAGGAAGAAUAAAUGACGGUACUAUUUAUAAGGUCCGGCUAACUACGUGCCAGCAGCCGCGGUAAUACGUAGGGACCAAGCGUUGUUCGGAUUUACUGGGCGUAAAGGGCGCGUAGGCGGCAAUUCAAGUCAUCUGUGAAAUCUCCGGGCUUAACUCGGAACGGUCAGAUGAUACUGCUUUGCUAGAGUGCAGAAGGGGCAAUCGGAAUUCUUGGUGUAGCGGUGAAAUGCGUAGAUAUCAAGAGGAACACCUGAGGUGAAGACGGGUUGCUGGGCUGACACUGACGCUGAGGCGCGAAAGCCAGGGGAGCAAACGGGAUUAGAUACCCUUGUAGUCCCUGAGCGGGCUGGCAAGGCGCAU
rnacentral:rRNA from 1 species